rnacentral:tRNA from 1 species
CCCCCAGUAGCUCAGCUUGGUGAGAGCGCCUGUUUGAAGCACAGGAGGUCAUCUGUUCAAAUCGGAUCUGGGGGG